rnacentral:rRNA from 1 species
CCUACGGGAGGCAGCAGUGGGGAAUAUUGCACAAUGGGGGAAACCCUGAUGCAGCGACGCCGCGUGAGUGAAGAAGUAAUUCGUUAUGUAAAGCUCUAUCAGCAGGGAAGAAAAUGACGGUACCUGAGUAAGAAGCCCCGGCUAACUACGUGCCAGCAGCCGCGGUAAUACGUAGGGGGCAAGCGUUAUCCGGAUUUACUGGGUGUAAAGGGAGCGUAGACGGCAGUGCAAGUCUGGAGUGAAAGGCGGGGGCUCAACCCCCGGACUGCUCUGGAAACUGUACGGCGGGAGUGCAGGAGAGGGAAUGGGAAUUCCUAGGUUAGCGGUGAAAGGCGUAGAUAGUAGGAGGAACACCAGGGGCGAAGGCGGCUGACUGACCUGUAACUGACGUUGAGGCUCGAAAGCGUGGGGAGCAAACAGGAUUAGAUACCCGGGUAGUC